GACGAACGCUGGCGGCGUGCUUAACACAUGCAAGUCGAACGGAAAGGCCCUGCUUUUGUGGGGUGCUCGAGUGGCGAACGGGUGAGUAACACGUGAGUAACCUGCCCUUGACUUUGGGAUAACUUCAGGAAACUGGGGCUAAUACCGGAUAGGAGCUCCUGCUGCAUGGUGGGGGUUGGAAAGUUUCGGCGGUUGGGGAUGGACUCGCGGCUUAUCAGCUUGUUGGUGGGGUAGUGGCUUACCAAGGCUUUGACGGGUAGCCGGCCUGAGAGGGUGACCGGCGACAUUGGGACUGAGAUACGGCCCAGACUCCUACGGGAGGCAGAAGUGGGGAAUAUUGCAGAAUGGGCGGAAGCCUGAUGCAGCAACGCCGCGUGCGUGAUGACGGCCUUCGGGUUGUAAACCGCUUUCGCCUGUGACGAAGCGUGAGUGACGGUAAUGGGUAAAGAAGCACCGGCUAACUACGUG
rnacentral:rRNA from 1 species